GCCGAAGUGGCGAAAUUGGCAGACGCGCUGGAUUCAGGGUCUAGUCUCCUUUUUGGAGGUAGGGGUUCAACUCCCCUCUUCGGCACCA
rnacentral:tRNA from 1 species